ACGGGAGGCAGCAGUGGGGAAUAUUGGACAAUGGGCGAAAGCCUGAUCCAGCGACGCCGCGUGAGUGAAGAAGUAUUUCGGUAUGUAAAGCUCUAUCAGCAGGGAAGAAAAUGACGGUACCUGACUAAGAAGCCCCGGCUAACUACGUGCCAGCAGCCGCGGUAAUACGUAGGGGGCAAGCGUUAUCCGGAUUUACUGGGUGUAAAGGGAGCGUAGACGGUUAAGCAAGUCUGAAGUGAAAGCCCGGGGCUCAACCCCGGUACUGCUUUGGAAACUGUUUGACUUGAGUGCAGGAGAGGUAAGUGGAAUUCCUAGUGUAGCGGUGAAAUGCGUAGAUAUUAGGAGGAACACCAGUGGCGAAGGCGGCUUACUGGACUGUAACUGACGUUGAGGCUCGAAAGCGUGGGGAGCAAACAGGAUUAGAUACCCUGGUA
rnacentral:rRNA from 1 species